rnacentral:rRNA from 1 species
GACGGAGGAUGCAAGUGUUAUCCGGAAUCACUGGGCGUAAAGCGUCUGUAGGUGGCCGGCUAAGUCAGACGUGAAAUCCCUCAGCUUAACUGGGGAACUGCGUCUGAGACUGAUCGGCUUGAGUGCAGGAGAGGAACGCGGAAUUCCAGGUGUAGCGGUGAAAUGCGUAGAUAUCUGGAGGAACACCGGUGGCGAAGGCGGCGUUCUGGACUGCAACUGACACUGAGGAACGAAAGCCAGGGGAGCAAACGGG